GGAUUAACGCUGGCGGCAUGCCUAAUACAUGCAAAUCGAACGAGGUUAGUUUACUAACCUAGUGGUGAACGGGUGAGUAACAAGUAUCCAAUCUGCCCUUAAGAUGGGAAUAACUGACCGAAAGGUUAGCUAAUGCCCAAUAAUAACAUUCUUAUCGCAUGAGAAAAUGUAGAAAGACGCCUUUAAAGCGUCGCUUUUGGAUGAGGRUGCUCCGUAUCAGAUAGUUGGUAGGGUAAAAGCCUACCAAGUCUAUGACGCGUAGCUGUACUGAGAGGUAGAACAGCCACAAUGGGACUGAGACACGGCCCAUACUCCUACGGGAGGCAGCAGUAGGGAAUUUUUCACAAUGGGCGCAAGCCUUAUGAAGCAAUGCCGCGUGAACGACGAAGGUCUUAUAGAUUGUAAAGUUCUUUUAUUUGGGAAGAAACGUUAUGAUAGGAAAUGAUUAUAACUUGACUGUACCUUUUGAAUAAGUAUCGGCUAACUAUGUGCCAGCAGCCGCGGUAAUACAUAGGAUGCAAGCGUUAUCCGGAUUUACUGGGCGUAAAACGAGCGCAGGCGGAUCUGCAAGUUUGGUAUUAAAUCUAUGUGCUCAACGCAUAGCUGUAUCAAAAACUGCAAAUCUAGAGUGUAGUAGAGAGUUGGGGAACUCCAUGUGGAGCGGUAAAAUGCGUAGAUAUAUGGAAGAACACCGGCGGCGAAGGCGCCAACUUAGACUAACACUGACGCUUAGGCUCGAAAGUGUGGGGAUCAAAUAGGAUUAGAUACCCUAGUAGUCCACACUGUAAACGAUCAUCAUUAAAUGUCGGCACGAACGUGUCGGUGUUGAAGCUAACGCAUUAAAUGAUGUGCCUGGGUAGUACAUUCGCAAGAAUGAAACUCAAACGGAAUUGACGGGGACCCGCACAAGUGGUGGAGCAUGUUGCUUAAUUUGACAAUACACGUAAAACCUUACCUAGGUUUGACAUCGAUUGCAAAGCUAUAGAAAUAUAGUAGAGGUUAACAAUCUGACAGGUGGUGCAUGGUUGUCGUCAGCUCGUGUCGUGAGAUGUUGGGUUAAGUCCCGCAACGAGCGCAACCCCUUUCGUUAGUUAUUUUUUAACGAUACUGCUACUGCAAAGUAGAGGAAGGUGGGGAUGACGUCAAAUCAUCAUGCCCCUUAUAUCUAGGGCUGCAAACGUGCUACAAUGGUUGAGACAAACUGCUGCAAAACUGUAAAGUCAAGCAAAUCAGACAAAAUCAAUCUCAGUUCGGAUAGAGGGCUGCAAUUCGCCCUCUUGAAGUUGGAAUCACUAGUAAUCGCGAAUCAGACAUGUCGCGGUGAAUACGUUCUCGGGUCUUGUACACACCGCCCGUCAAACUAUGGGAGCUGAUAAUAUCUGAAACCGUACUGUUAACCGCAAGGAGGCAUACGUCUAGGGUAGGAUUGGUGACUGGAGUUAAGUCGUAACAAGGUAUCCCUACGAGAACGUGGGGAUGGAUCACCUCCUUU
rnacentral:rRNA from 1 species